UACAGAGGGGGCAAGCGUUGUUCGGAAUUACUGGGCGUAAAGGGCGCGUAGGCGGCCUUCUAAGUCGAACGUGAAAUCCCCGGGCUCAACCCGGGAACUGCGUCCGAUACUGGAAGGCUUGAAUCCGGGAGAGGGAUGCGGAAUUCCAGGUGUAGCGGUGAAAUUCGUAGAUAUUGGGAAGAACACCGGUGGCGAAGGCGGCUCACUGGCUCGUAACUGACGCUCAGGCGCGACAGCGUGGGGAUCAAACAGG
rnacentral:rRNA from 1 species